AUUGAACGCUGGCGGCAGGCCUAACACAUGCAAGUCGAACGAGUGGCGGACGGGUGAGUAAUGUCUGGGAAACUGCCUGAUGGAGGGGGAUAACUAGUGGAACCGGUAGCUAAUACCGCAUACCAUCAGAUGUGCCCACGUGGGUGUAGCUAGUUGGUGGGGUAACGGCGCACCAAGGCGACGAUCCCUAGCUGGUCUGAGAGGAUGACCAGCCACACUGGAACUGAGACACGGUCCAGACUCCUACGGGAGGCAGCAGUAGGGAAUAUUGCACAAUGGGCGAAAGCCUGAUGCAGCCAUGCCGCGUGUAUGAAGAAGGCUUUCGGGUUGUAAAGUACUUUUAGCGGGGAGGCGUUACCCGAAGAAGAAGCACCGGCUAACUCCGUGCCAGCAGCCGCGGUAAUUC
rnacentral:rRNA from 1 species